rnacentral:rRNA from 1 species
UACGUAGGGUGCGAGCGUUGUCCGGAAUUAUUGGGCGUAAAGAGCUCGUAGGCGGUGUGUCGCGUCGGCCGUGAAAACCUGCAGCUUAACUGUGGGCUUGCGGUCGAUACGGGCAUCACUGGAGUUCGGCAGGGGAGACUGGAAUUCCUGGUGUAGCGGUGAAAUGCGCAGAUAUCAGGAGGAACACCGGUGGCGAAGGCGGUUCUCUGGGCAUUACCUGACGCUGAGGAGCGAAAGUGUGGGGAGCGAACAGG